rnacentral:rRNA from 2 species
CUGUAACUGACGCUGAGGCGCGAAAGCGUGGGGAGCGAACAGGAUUAGAUACCCUGGUAGUCCACGCCGUAAACGAUGAGUGCUAAGUGUUAGAGGGUUUCCGCCCUUUAGUGCUGCAGCAAACGCAUUAAGCACUCCGCCUGGGGAGUACGGUCGCAAGACUGAAACUCAAAGGAAUUGACGGGGGCCCGCACAAGCGGUGGAGCAUGUGGUUUAAUUCGAAGCAACGCGAAGAACCUUACCAGGUCUUGACAUCCUCUGACAACCCUAGAGAUAGGGCUUCCCCUUCGGGGGCAGAGUGACAGGUAUGUAGCAUGGUGUCGUCAGCUCGGUCGGAGAG